AUGUCUCCAUCCUGUCCUUCCUCUGUCCCAGGAAUUCAAACUCAUCAAGGACAUCAAGGUGGUCCAGAAGUCUGCAAUCUGUACACUGUGCAGCCUGACGAGCACUUUGGGACCUGGUUCCAGGCCGUGGAACCCCUGAGCGAGGAGGCAAGCUACAGCCUGUCCUGUCAGCUGGAGCCCCGAUACCAGUGGACCAGAAAGAUUCGCCUCUUCUUCAAAGACAAGAAAAGCCACUCAUCUUCCCGCCCAGGGCUGAACACCAGGCCCCGAAAAAAGAGCCCAGUGGUGGUGGCAGGUGAUGCUCCUGAGACCAGCUGAACUACAGCAGGGACACACCGGGGACACUCAGGUGCAUGGGGCCACCUCUCAGAUGCUGAUAUGAAUGAAAACUUUGUGAUCCAUUUCCUGGGGUCCCCUGAAGGCCACAAGCGAGUGGACCACCCCCCUCAUCUCCCUCACACAUUUCCCCCAGUGCCUAUUUCACUCUUUGGAGGGGCCAUAUUUUUGUUGUCCAUGUUUGAAUAUUCUAUUAAAUCCCUGUUUCUUUCUCAGCCUGUGAGUGGAGGUGUGGUUCUUUCUCUCUCUGUGCUCAUGGAAAUGAGAUCCAGAAUCUCACAUUCCUCCCUGAGUUCAGAAACCUCAGAGUCCUCAGCUCAAUGUAUGUGGUGAAGGGAG
rnacentral:lncRNA from 1 species